GAGAGAGGCAAUAUUCCCUGCAACGAAGACUGCUAACUUUCGUCUCCCUUGGUUGAAUUCCGAGGCUCUACUCG
rnacentral:tRNA from 1 species